rnacentral:rRNA from 1 species
GAUGAACGCUGGCGGCGUGCCUAAUACAUGCAAGUCGAGCGAACGGACGAGAAGCUUGCUUCUCUGAUGUUAGCGGCGGACGGGUGAGUAACACGUGGAUAACCUACCUAUAAGACUGGGAUAACUGCGGGAAACCGUAGCUAAUACCGGAUAAUAUUUUGAACCGCAUGGUUCAAAAGUGAAAGACGGUCUUGCUGUCACUUAUAGAUGGAUCCGCGCUGCAUUAGCUAGUUGGUAAGGUAACGGCUUACCAAGGCAACGAUGCAUAGCCGACCUGAGAGGGUGGUCUGCCACACUGGACCUGAGACCCGGUGCCGAGGCAUACAGGAGGCAGAAGUAGGGAAUCUUCCGCAAUGGGCGAAAGCCUGACGGAUCAACGCCGCGUGAGUGAUGAUGGUCUUCGGAUCGUAAAACUCUGUUAUUGGGGAAGAACAUAUGUGUACGUAACUGUGCACAUCUUGACGGUACCUAAUCAGAAAGCCACGGCUAACUACGUG